AGAGCUUAAGUUUGAUUUGAUGUUACAAUUAAAAAAGUGUUUGUGUUUUUAUCUGAAGAGUGUGUAAAUAUCUGGUUUCGACUGUAUAUUUGAUGAUGUUGGUGUUUGGCUUGAUUGUCAGCACAAAGAGGGAGAGAGAGGGGGAGAGAGAGGGAGAUGGAGAAUGAGGACAGAACAGAGAUGGAACAAGAGCAGCAUCAGAUCGAGGGCGAUCUGUCUGCCUUUCUGUCCUGGUCUUACGAGCGAGGUGGUAACAGGAAGAAGUCCGUCAACCAGUCGGUGAGUCGCUGUACCCACCCUGGCUCACUCCACCUCCGGACUCGGAAUACCUAGUGAUCAUUUUGGAAAUCCCUCUGUGCCUCACCUGCCUGCCCUCCUGCCAUCACACUCCAUCUGGAGCCCCGGAUCUCAGGUCAGCCUUUCCACGCCACUCAGCCUCCCCUGGAUCUUCAUCAUCCCCCUCUCAAACACUCCAGGUCCCUAACUGCAAAUGUGACUGUUCCCCACUCAGCUCCGUUCCACUUCUCAGGCCUCGUUCCCUCGCCCUAGCCACGUUCCCCUGGGCACGCCACACCAAGGCUCCACGUCUCGUCAUUUUCUGUCUUUGCCACGUUUCCCUUUUUUUUGUUCCCCU
ensembl:lncRNA